rnacentral:tRNA from 1 species
GUGGGUAUAGCUCAGUGGUAGGGUGGGUGCUUAGCAUGCAUGAUGUCCUGGGUUCAAUCCCCAGUGCCUCUG